UAAGUUUGCUUAAAUUUUAAACCACCUAGCGGAUGGCUAGGCUAUAGCAACGAUGAAGGCCGUGGCAAGCUGCGAUAAGCCCGGGGUAGCCGCAUGUCAGGCUUUGAACCCGGGAUUGCCGAAUUGUACGUAGCAAUACGUAUGUGUACGCGGGGAACUGAAAUAUCUUAGUACCCGCAGGAAAAGAAAGCGAGAGCGAUGCGGUAAGUAAUGCGAAUGAAAGCCGCGCAGGGCAAACUGAAUCCCGCCUUGCAAAAGGUGUGGAGAUGUGGUGCAGCGCCGAUCCAGGACAUGAGCCGAACGUUAUGGAAAGAGCGGCCAUAGAGAGUGACAGCCUCGUAGGUUAAGUGCGAUGGACCUGCUGCAAAAGAGUAAUUCCGCCUUAGUAUGUGGAGUGAAUACGGGGGCAUUAAACCCCAACCCUAAAUAUUGGCUAUAGACCGAUAGAGAACAAGUAGCGCGAGCGAAAGCUGAAAAGAACCCACACGCGUGGGAUUGAAAAGAUCUGAAACUAGGUGGUGACAUGCAGGUAAGGCACGAAAGGAAUGAUGCGCGCCGAAGCUAUGCCGGAAACGGCUAUGCGAGGAUGCGCGGAGCAGUGUCUUACCAUUCUUCUUGAAGCAAGAGCCAGGGAGUGUAUAGGCGUGGCGAGCCGAAAGGCGCAGCGAAAGCGAGAGCACGCAGCAUUGCGAGGUGCGGGGUAUGAAAAUGCCCAAGUCACGUUUAUACGACCCGAAGCCAUUGUGAACUACGCGCGCCCAAGACGAAGCUAGGUUAACGCCUGGUGGAGGUCUGCAACCUGUCAUGGCAUGCCCUGUUGGGUGAGGCGCGGGUAGCGGCGAUAUACCUUUCGAACAUGGCAAUAGCGGGUCCCUUCUGAAGUAUCUUUAGGAUAGCUCUGGGCGAGCUUGCAUAUGCGGUAGAGCAACCGAUUAAGGGGCAUGGAGCCGAAAGGCUUCACCUCUUCGUCAAACUCCGAAUGUAUAUGCUGUGUAGACCCCAGGAGUCGGCGAUGUUGGGUAAGCUAGCAUCGCGAGACUGCAAAGAUAGUGACCGGGGUUAAGGUCCCCAAAUCCUAGUUGAGUGUAUCAAAGGCGAGAAGUACCAUAGACAGCUGGGAGGUAGGCUCAGAAGCAGCCAUCCUUCAAAAAACGCGUAAUAGCGUACCAGUAGAGGUAUUCCUUACCGAAAAUAUACGGGGCUAAGCUAGGUACCGAGACCUCGGAGUGCGAUAAGCACUGGUAAGAAGGCGUGCGGCAUGGCAAGAAGUAUGUCCGAAAGGACAUAUGGACCGUGUCGCAGAGAAUAUCCUGGUGUUAGUAUCAUCAAAUAUGGGUGAGAAUCCCAUACACCGUAAGCACACGGGUUUCUUCGCAACGCUCGUCAGCGGAGAGUUAGGCGAUCCUAAGCCGCAGGCCAAUCACCAUGCGGCAAAAGGGAAGCUGGUUAAUAUUCCAGCCCCUAACAGGUAGGCGUGGCAACACAAGGCAGAUUUCUGACGCUUGGGGAUAGGUCCGCAAGAAAGUGCAAAGGGCUGCAGAGUCUCGUUAUGAGGAGAAGCAGCUAAAUGAACUGUUGGACUGAUUUCUUGAGCCCGUGAAAAGGGAAUCUGCAACGAUCCUGUUAGACCGUACCUAGAACUAGUACAAGUGUUGCUGGCUUAAAAGGCCAAGGUGUGACGGAGUAACCUAGGUUAGGGAAUUCGGCAAAAUAGUGGCGUAAGUUUUCGACAAGCCAUGUCUGCGUAUAGUAUGCGCAGAUAGCAUUAACAAGGGAACAACGACUGUUUAUCAAAAACACAACUCACCGCAAAGCCGUAAGGCUUAGUACAGUGGGUGACGCCUGCUCACCGCCAGUACGUGAACACCCUUUUCAAGGGGGAUAAGCGCUGGCAAAGAGCGGGAGUAACUCUGACUCUCUUAAGGUAGCGUAAUACCUCGUCACUUAAUAGGUGACUUGCAUGAAUGGCGUAACGAUUGUUCCACUGUCCCAACCUAGGGUCCGGUGAACUCACUGCGCGGUGAAUAUGCCGCGAUCCUCCAGUGGGAAAUGAAGUCUCUAUGAAGCUUGACUACAGCCUGUAGUUGUUGUGUAGUUAGUUAUGCAUAGCGUAAGUGGGAGCGUCGAUGUCUGGGCUUAGGCCCAGGCGGAGCGACAAUGUAACACCACUCAUAGCUUGCUCCACAGCUAACCCGAGAGGGAACAUCUGCAGGUGGGUAGUUAGACUGGACGGUUACUUUCGAUAAGGAAACGAAAGCGACCAACGCUCUGCUUAAGCGAGUUGGAAACUCGCUGGUAAGUGAAAAGGCAAAUGCAGGGCUGACUGUGUGCUGAAAAGCGUGGCACGCAGACUGGAAACAGGGGCUUAACGAACGUUGGUAGCUCUUUUAAUGGGGCUCCAAGCUGUCAAACAAGUUACUCUAGAGGUAACCGAUUCGUCGCCGGUGAGAGUCCGCAUCGACCUGGCGCAUUGAUACAUCGAUAUGGGCUUGGGUUAUCCUGGCAGUGUACAAGCCGCCAAGGGUUGGGCUGUACGCCCAUUAAAAACCCACAUGAGCUGCGUUCAGUACGUCGCGAGACAGUACGGUAAUAUCUACUGGAGGUGUUAGUGCCGGAGGAUAAGAUCCCUUUAAUACGAGAGGAACGAGGGAUCGGCGCCACUGGUGUACCGGUUGUGAUUGCAUUGCCGGGUAGCUACGCGCCAAAUGGAUAAGUCCUGAAAGCAUCUAAGGACGAAGCUAUACCCGAAACGAGGCACUAUGGGCGGUCGCAAUAGACGACUUCGAUAGGACGGGUGCGUAAGCAGAGAGCUCACGCGAUCUGUGAACAUUCCGUUACUAAAGCCUAAUUAGCAAACUUG
rfam:Candidatus Micrarchaeum acidiphilum ARMAN-2 ARM2contig_15008, whole genome shotgun sequence.